UCGAACAAAUGGGCUUUGAUCAUGACCUUGUACUGGAGGUUUUCUUUGCCUGCAACAAAAAUGAGGAGCUCGCUGCUAACUACCUCUUAGAUCACAUGCACGAGUUUGAAGAGUGAAAUGGGGGUUGGGAUGGCUCUUUUGUGUAGCUUCCCUUGCCACCCUCUCUUUGCCCCACUGCAAACAUCAGUUCCAUAUAUGGUGUGGGUUCUGAGCUAUUCGAGUGCUGCAGAGGGGUGUACUGGAAAAACGUAACUAGUUAUCCUGUUUUUUUCUCUUCUCCCAGCAUCGGCUUGGACCCCAUUAGGAUUGUCUUUAUACAUAGUUUGUCAAUUCCUCCCCCCUCUACCCCCAACCCCCCAAAAAAGAAAAUUCUUCCCUUCGUUGAAACUCGAAUGUUUCACCCAGAGAUAACCUUUUCAAUGUGGACAUUCCAAAUCUAUUGGUAUUUGCAUGCAUUUCCAUUUUCAAUUCUGGUUUUUGUUGCUUGAUAUCACUGUCUCCUCUGUGUGUGUUUCGAUCUCUUCCGAAAGUAAAUAAGAUAUGGAAGAGACUGAAAUACAAAUGACUGGAACUACAAGCAGUGAAAUGAAGCUGAACUAGUUAAUAGUUUAAACUGUGCUAAGAUUUUUGGGCAAGUUGUCAGUAUAUAUGUAUAUAUACAUACAUAUACUGAGAGAGAAAAUUGCGAUGUCAUACUUGGGCUCGUUUGGUAUGCUAUAUAUAAGGAAAAUAAUCAUGGUAUAUAAAUUACUACAACAUGUAUUCACCGUUUGGUUGUAAUUUGAAACAUGUAUUAGAGGGUCACCUUUUCAAAAAUUAAAAGACCUAUGGUGUAUAUAUGUAUAUUAACAUAGAUCUUUUAAUUCUUGAAAUGGUGAUCCUUUAAAUCAUUGUUCGUGUCAAGGAUAAGACUUAAUCCAAUGAGGAGCUUGUCUUCAGUUUUCUUUUCGUAAUCAUCGAUUAUCUUAGCGCACCGAAGAUAAGAUGUCACUGUAAAAGAAUUAUACAUCUCAAACACAUCUUCUUGGAUUGAUUUCUUGUGAGGAUCGAUGGCUUCAAUAAUUAGUUAAGUACAAUAAUUAAAAUUUAGAAAACAAGAGAUGUUAUUCUUAAUUCAACUGCUCAAUUUCUCACGAAAGAUUCAAACAUUUACAAAAUAACAUCUCUGUCUUAUUUAAUGUUUUUCCUUGUUUUCAUUCUCAUUUUCUCCAAAAACUAUUGAAUUGUUUACUUUUCGUGAAUGGUGUUGUCUUUAAAAAUCUCAAAAGAAUAGCUGACAUUAUGGAGAAUAUGAAAAUUAGUAAAGAAAACUAUAAUUAUGAUUGGUAUAAUAAAAGUAAUAUAAUAAUCCAUGGAAAAACAUUUUUCUGUACAAUAUUUUUUAGUAUUUGAUUGGUGGAAUGAUAUAUCUCCUAAAACAUACGAGUUUUUGGCUAAAAACAUCCCUCAAAUAUACUCUAAAUUUAAACAACAUUCCUCUACUAUCAUAGUGACCAAAAAACAUCCCUUAACUAUCCUAAAAAUGGUCAGAUUCACCCUUUCAUAUUUUUUCUUGAUAGAAACUAAAGGUUAAACUCAUUUCCUUUUAUGUAAAUGAAGCUAGAAUUAACCAUGGAUAAACAUGUGGCGUUUUCACAUAUUAAAGUUACAAUUCUUCUCAUGUCAAUAUGAUGAAAAAUACAUAGUAAAUUAUUUAUAAAAAGUUCACAUAAUUUGAAUCUUAAGAAGCGAAAAAGGUCACAUAAAUUGGAACAAAAAGAGUUAUUUUUUUUAUGUAAUAUCUAAAUAUGUUACUUUUAUAUUUUUUAAAAAACAGUCCCUAGUGUUUAUCAAAUUUACACAAAAAAUAAAAAUAGACUACCUUCACACUUCAAAUUUCCUCAUUUGUCUAGGAAAUAAAGAGAAAAUANNNNNNNNNNNNNNNNNNNNNNNNNNNNNNNNNNNNNNNNNNNNNNNNNNNNNNNNNNNNNNNNNNNNNNNNNNNNNNNNNNNNNNNNNNNNNNNNNNNNNNNNNNNNNNNNNNNNNNNNNNNNNNNNNNNNNNNNNNNNNNNNNNNNNNNNNNNNNNNNNNNNNNNNNNNNNNNNNNNNNNNNNNNNNNNNNNNNNNNNNNNNNNNNNNNNNNNNNNUACUGUGAAGUUGAGGAUGAAAACCUCUCUUCCUAGCUCAUUCAGUUUGGUUAGGAUUGUCUAUUACUAAUUAUAAGCUAAGAGAAGAAUGUGAGCAAACAAAAUGGGGGAUUUCUGGAUUGAUCAAUCGUUAGUUUUUUAAUAAAAACUAAUUGAAGGAUGAAUCUUGCCAUUUUUUAGAUAAUUGAGGGAUAUUUUUCAUUCAUUGUGGUAGUGCGAGGAUGUGGUUUAAACAUAGAGUAUAGUUAAGGGAUGUUUUUGACCAAAAACUCUAAAACAUACACUAUUAAAGAUAAAUAAUAAUAUUAACAAAUCAUAGAAUAUUUUGAUUUGACAAACCUUCUAAGCAGAGGCGUAUGUAUAUGAAGGGGAGGGGGUUCACAUGCACCCAUCCUCCCCUACCUAACCCCUAUAUAAUACUACUAUUUUUCUAAUUAUCUUUUUAAAUUUGCAUUGGUGAACCCAAAGAUAAAAAGAAUACUCUAGUAUAUUGAUAAGUACGUACAAAUAGGGGGUGCAUAACUUAUAGAUUUGUGGUUCAAAUUUUUCUUAUCCACAUUAACAUUUUUAAUUUUUAAUUAAUAUAACAAAAUAGUGCCACUUUUCAUAGAUCUUUUUAAUAAUUUAUAAAUAAAAAGAGGUUCAAAUACCCAUAUUUUUAGGUUGCAUUAGCUAUGUCUAGACCUUAAGCUAGAAGUGUCAAUAAAGUCAAAUUAUAUUUUUUACUUUCUUUUUCUCCUUUCCUUCUUUAUUUAGACGUUUUUCUUAUUAUUUUUUUUAACUUUUUCUUUUGACUUUUCAAAGUCCUAAACUAAAAGGUAAAAAGGAGUAAAAGACAUCAUAUUGUUCUUCUUUUGGCUUCAUUCCACAUUUCCACUUUGUUGUUCAUGGUGAAGGAGAAGUGAGAUUUGAGAACAAGUAAUAAAGUAUGUUAUCUAAAAAAGAAUUUAUUUAUUAAUGUACUUCAUUUGUUUUAUAUGUUUUUCUUGAUUUAUGAAGUGGUUCCAUUAUUUGAUUGCUUGAAUAUUUAAAUUUAUAAAAAUUUCUUGAUUUCUUAAUAGUUAUCUAAUAAUUGUGAUUCUUUUAUUAGUAAACUUGUUAUUUGUGCUUAUAUUUUUUAAAAAUUAUUUUGUUUUUAUAAGAUUGAAUAGAAGUGUGAAUAUUUAAUUUUGUAGGUAAAAUAAUUCUUACAAUCAAUUCAUCAAAUCACAAAUGGAUAAGUUUCUCAUCAAGUUACCAAAGCCAAAAGAUGGCCAACCAAGUUCUAGCUCUAAUCAACCAUUUGUGAGUUCACAAGUUGCUCCGGAAGUUCAAAGACAUACAAAUUCUUUUCCACUUUCAAAUAUGGAUAGUAUGCUUGAUUUUAAAUCUCUUGAAGCAGAUCCCAAAGAUCGAAUGCCUAUUUCAUCUUAUAGUCCUAAUAUUCGAGAUGCGGUAAGGAGGUAUUACAUUCAAAAAAAGCCAUGUCAACCUGUUGAUCAUAUCUUCCCUAAAACUAAGUUUGUAGAUAAAAUGCGUCAAUUUCGACCAACUUGGUUUAAGAGAAGAUCUCAAUGGUUGGAAUAUAGCAUUAAAGCAGAUGCGGCAUUUUGUUUGUGUUGUUAUUUGUUCAAGAAUGAACUUGAAAGUCGUGGAAAUGCCGGAGAUUCAUUUACAAGAGAUGGUUUUAGGUGUUGGAACAAAGCUUUAGAAAGAUUCAAAAAACAUGUUGGUAAGGUAAAUAGUAUCCAUCAUAAAUGUUUCAAUAGGAUGCAAGAUUUGAAAAACCAACGGCAAUCGAUCCAAUCUUCUUUUGACAAGCAAAGUGAAAAGGCAAGAAGUGAUUAUCGGAUGCGUUUAAAUGCCUCAAUUGAUGUAGCAAGAUUUCUCUUGACAUCGGGAUUUCCAUUUCGUGGACAUGAUGAAAGUGAAGGUUCCAAAUAUAAGGGUGCUUUUCUUGAACUUUAGAAAUGGUAUGGUGCCCCCAUGUUCUUGAGAUCCUGGAUACGCCUCUGCUUCUAAGUAAUAAAUAUUAGUAAAUCACGUCUCAAUGAUAGUUGGAGCAAAUAAAAAUAAAAUUUAAAGUUAAUUAAAGAUAAUUUCAAUUUAGAAAUUACUUCCCCCUCUAGUGAAAGUAGUUAUUUUCCUUUCCUUGGAAUGUAUAAGCAUAACACAUGAAUGUGUCUUUUAAUUUUGUUUUAACUGACAUUUAUAGUCUCCAACUUUGGGUAUGUACAUGUAGACACUUAAAUUUCUACUACAAAAUUGAACAAAUAGACACACACGUUCUAUUUGACAUAAUACACGUAGGAUGUCAUGUAGGACGUCACACAAGACAAACGUGUCUAUUUGUUCAAUUUUAUACAAAUGUAAGUGUCUACUUGUACACAUUCAAAGUUGGAGGGCAUAGAUGUCAACUAAAGUCAAGUUGAAUGACACAUUUAUGUAUUAUACCGAAUAUAUAUGUUAAUCAAACACCAUUAAAUAACUUUUUUAUGAAGAUUAUUUUUGGUGAUAAAACAACUUUUUAUGCUACCAAAUACAAAUAAAUAUAUAUAAAAUAUAUUGAUGCAAGUAAAUCAUAUUGAUUGAUUGAUUGAUUGAGAGAGAGUGUGGUAUUCUUGUUAUUAUUCAAGCUAACAAUCAAAGUAAUCUUUACGAUUUCACCUUCAUGAAUUUCAAAUUGAUUGAUAACACGACUCAUAAUGGGUAUAUGAUGUAUAUUGAUGUGUGAAAUAUAAAAAAUUAAGUGUCCUCUACACUUUACCUCCACUGAAGCAAUCAACUUUCAUCUCACAUCCAUAUUUCACUUCUUCUUGAAUUAACAAUUAUAAGUUGUGAAAAGAAAAUGAUAAGAAAAUGUUUAGAACUUGUAGUCUUUAUAUAGAAAACAUUACCCACCACAUAUCUGCAUCAUAUAUUACCAACAAUAUUAAGUUAUUUGUAUUUGAUGAAAUUUUGGCUUAGAUAUAAGUAAGUGGACACACUCAAUUUAUUACACUUUUGAGAUUUGGCCCACCUCAAAUACCAAAAUUCUCCAUUUUCCUACCCUUGAAAUUUUAACAUGUGUCUCUUCAAUAAUCAAGAGGAUCAAAUUUAUUUGAUUGACACGUGUUAUGUUUUAAGUGGUCACUUUAUUUUUUUUAAAAAAAAGAUUUGUCUCACCUUCGAUACCCAUGAUGUGUUAGGUAUGAAAACAUAUUUUCUUAGAAAUUGUUUUUUUUUGGAAAAUAAAUAAGUUUUUUACUUAUUUUUUUUUAUAUUCGGUAUAUAUGUAAAAAAAUAUUAUUCUCCAAGUAUUUAUAUAUAACCUAGACAAAUACUAUGAAAGAUGUGAAUGGAGGCUACGAGUGGUGGGGGUGAAGAUGAGGCGUGUUAGAGGGUAAAGAAGAUACAAUCAAUAUGAAAUGUCACUUGUUGAACGUAGAUAAGUCAAAAUGUCCUUAAACUAUGUUAAAAUUGAACAAAAAUGUCUUCUAUUAAUACCAAUUCAAAGGAGAGGUUCUGAGGUGUCUUCAACUUUCUUUUCGUGCUCAAUCAUAUUUUAGGCAUAUUAUAAAAAUAAUUAAUUAAUUUGAGGAGUAUUAAAUGACAUUUUCAUUUACUGCAGAAGUCUUUUCAUGAAGGGUUAAAAAAUUCAAUCAAUAUUUUCUAAAAACCUACAUGUUUUUAAUAUAAUAUAUAGUAGUUUAGUAAACUGUAACAUCUCACAACUAGAAAGAACUAGAAGGAAGUUCAAAAUCUGAAAAUAGUUAUUUUUGGAAAGUGUAAGGAAAUCUGGAAAAUUUUAAGUAAGUUAAAGUGAGUUUUUGGUCAACUUCAAACGACCGUAACUCCUAGCUCAGGAUGAGUUAGGUGUAGUUCCAGAUAUGGUUGGAAAGAUCUUGGAAUGAUCUUUCCAACGCCGCUAAAUUUGCACCAUUCCGAGUUCUUAUAUGUAAGUUAUUCCCUUUGGAAGUUGGGCUGUUGGAAUAAGGAAAUGUCUAACCCGGAUUUUAGAAGGGCGAUUUAGUCUUUUUCUUACCUAAUUACUCUAAUUUGUUUUAGGAGAUUAAUUGGGGUAAAACCAGACUUUAUUCAGUUUAGAAAAAUUAGAAUUUACGCUAGGGCUUGGAGAGGAGAAGAAAGAAGAGAAAAGAGGAGAGAAAUCAAGAAAUCGCCAAGGACGUUCAAGCCUUGCGAGUGGUAUUCGUCGGGGUGAUCCCUACAAGGUAUAUGAGAUCACAUAGUGUUGGUUUAGUUCACCCACACGCCAAUCUUGUUUCAAUAUAGCGAAUUUGAGUUAUUUGAAUGCAAAGAAAAGUGAGUUCUUAAAGAACAUUGUUGAAAAUUCGUUGAGUUCUUGAUGGUUGUGUUGUUGAAGUCUCUUGUUGAUUUGAUUCGUGUUUUUGGGUGAAAUUUCAUGUUGAAUCUAUUGUAUAUUGAGGGUAUAAAUGAUUCUAAGUGUUUGGAGAAAGAACCAUUGAAUUUUAGAGGGUUUAGAGAUAAAAAACGAAGGAGAAAAUCAGAGUUUUCUGGGCAAGGGCUUGGGGAGCCGCACCUGCCAGAGUGCCACAAAAGUUCCUUUGAACUUUGGCCUCUGGCACGUCGCGCUAGCCAGAGCGCCAUAGAAAGUUCUCUGAACUUUGAGGGUUGGCUCCCCGUGCCUCUCAGAGCACCAGGGACGUCAGUUCUCCCCAUUCGUUCCCCAUCUUUUUGUACGUGUUCCUUAGUGUUGUACCCACGUUUUCUAGUUGAUUCCAACACUCUAAGGUACAUCUAAACAUCAUGAAAUCAUCCAUAAACAUGAGAUCAUGAACCUUGAAUCCAUAAUCCAAUUCAAGGAAAGUUAAGAUCAAAGUCAUAAAAGCUAAGAGUCAAAGUCUAGAAGGUAAGAAACAAGUCAAAGCAAAGUUUUUUAAAGUUUUCAAGAGUCUCUAUCAAACGUUUUACCUUCGUUUUAAGGCUCAAGUUUUAAGUUAAGCAAAGAGUAAACUUGAAGUUCAUUUCUUCAAAAGUAUAUGGGGACUAAGUAUUCCCAAAGAGAUUUAAAAUGUUUUCACAUUUAAAUAAGUAAUUGUGGACGAGCAUGAGUUUAGAUAACUCCCGUCACCAUAGAACCAUGUAGCCAUCAUAGGUAGAAAAGGUUCAUACUUUUUAGAUGAAUCCUUUUUGAUGUAUCAUCACAAUAGCUCUUAUGUGAUGGUUGUCAGUUAGAGAAACUCCCACAGAAGUUAUUGUAUUUUUAUAUACAUCAGUUUAUUGUAUUUUUACAUACAUUUCAGAGUUAUGUUGUAUCCUUGUACAUACACAGAGUUGACACCAUGUUUUUAAACAACUUUUCUUUAUAUUGCACUUGUUUAAACUGCUUUAUAUCGAAAUGAGUUCAGUUAAGUAUUCAUGAGUUGAGAAGAGCCAAGGUAAGCGUUUCUUUCAAAUUCUCUUUCCAGCCUAUGUUGUUGUAGCAUUCCAACUCGCAUACUUGUACAUUCAAUGUACUGAUACCAGUUGGCCUACAUCUUAUUAUGAUGCAGACAGGUAACUAGGAUCGGUAUUCCAGCGCACCGUUGAUCCAGUGAACAGUUCAGAGUCAGUCGGUGAGCCUCCUUGCAUUCCGGAGGAUCUAUUUUCAUUUCUUUCUAGUUAGUUCAUUAGGAUGUUGUGGGGUUUGUCCAAACAUCCAUCUCAGUUGUUUUAGAGGUUUCAUAGACAGUCAGAUGUUAGUCCGUUGAGUCUUUUCAUUAUCAUUUCUUAUUGUUAAGACUUGGGUUGCCACUUUUGGCCAAGUUGAAUGUUUAAUCUUUAAAACAUUCGCAGUUAUUUUAUUAUUCAGUUCAGUUAAGUUUAUUUAUCAUUAUAGAUAUGAAUAUUGUCUUUUGCUGAGUUAAGUAAGCCAGGUCAAGGGUUCGCUUGGGGUCAGCAAUGGUGUUCGAGUGUCAGUCCCGCCCAUGGCGUAGGCUCGGGGGGGUGACAUAAACGUGUUUUACACACGUCAUUAUAUUGGAAAAUAUUGAGUCAUUAUCAUUAAAUUAGAAGAUAUUGGGUUAUUACAUGUAUAAAUUAAAUUCACAAGUCUCACGACCCAGACCGUCGUGAUUGACACCCACACUAACAAUUCGGUGGGAGAACUACUACUACAAUCCAAACCAAGCAGUUAAUCUAAAAACUAAGGCAUAUAAGUCAAAUACUAAGGAAAGAAAAUAGAGUUUCCAUAAACUCUAAUAAAAGUUCAACAAUAACUAACAAAUGCGAAAGAAUUAACCUUGAACCUGAAGGUCAAUGUACCAAAACUCUACUAACGACAAGUCUAAGAACAAGGGGUACAACCCCGAAACUAAACAACACCUUAAACAAAAGUUUAAGUCCGAAAAGAGUGGACUUAAACAAGGAAGAUCCAUGACAACCUGAAAGAGCUGGCUCACCCUUAAAUCCGGUCACGCUCAUAGUCACCUAGAUGAGGUCUAUCAAUAGCCACUUGAAGAUGCCUUGUACUUAACAAAGAAAGAGCAAGUGCAAUAUUAGUCCAUAACCACCGUGUACUGGUAGGAUCACGCGGCUAUCCCACUAAGUGUAACAUACAUUAGUUAAUACAACAAUAUAAUCACAUGCACAUAUCGAACAUAUACAAUAUCAUCAACAUAUACGAACAAUGAACAACUUCACGAUUCUCACAUAUCACAGUUAUAUCAAUUUAGAGCAACAUACCGUCUUCUAAUAUCAAUCAUCAUUAGAUAUGAACGAACUCAUCACAAGUAGAUACACAACACAAUUCAAUGGUCCUCUCACGGAACCCAAUUCAAUGGUCCUCUCAUGGAACCCAAACCCAAACCCAAACAGUUAGCAUGCUGGAACGUGGCAAUCCAAUCCCAGAUUUAUGUCAGAACGUGGCAAUACGAUCCAAGUUAGUUAUGCCGGAACGUGGCAGUCGAUCUCAUAUUUAUGCCGAAACGUGGAAAUCCGAUCCAAGUUAGUGUGUUGGAUCGUGACACCCGCCCAUUCAACAAACCACAAUCACAAUCACAAUCACAAUGUAUAUUCUCACAAUCAAACAACAAGAGGUGAUUCAUGACAUACAAUUAUUCAAUUAUCCUCAUUUAUAACAAGUGUGAUCAAUAAUGCAACAUUCGCAUACAUACAUGUAUCAUAAUAAAGAAAAAUCAAACAUACAUCACACAAUCAUAGAAUCACAAUCAUCACCUACCUCGAAUCCAAGCUUGAAUCCCCUAAGGCACUUGAAUCUUCCCUUUUCGGAUUCUUUCCGCUUGUUCUAGGUCUACAAACAACAAUUUGUAUUCAAGGAUCAACAAUCAAAGGUCUAAUUAUCCGGAUUAUAACAAACCCAAUAACCCUAGACCAAACCCAAGAUCUUAAUACCCAAUUUAGGGUUUUUUCCAUCAUAAAUUCUAGAUCAAAACCCUCUCCAUCGAUAAUGACUGACUAGAUUACGUUCUACGGAUCGAAAAAUGGAUUCGGGGAGUUAAAACCUUACCUUUAGCCUCAAGAAUGGUGAAAAACGGUCAAGAAGUCGCCUGGGAUCGUCUCCUUAGCUCUAAAAAUCGAAAAGUACCAAAUAAGGUCGUUUAGGGGUUUAUUAACGACUUUAAGUCGUGUAUGGCCUGCCACGGCGGACCCAUCCCGCUAUAGUGGCCCCACUCUGGCGGCUUACACGGAGACAAAAUGUUACCUGUUCACGCUAAGAUCAUUUUCGAGAGUUCUACUCGCCCAAUUUCGAUUUCGUAAAGUCGUACGGGUUUCUUAACGUCUUAGCUAUCUACUCAUGCGGUCCAAAUCAUUAUUAGAUCUCUUAUUAAUUACCAGAUUUCCCUACACCUUAAUGACUCCGAUUUCGUCCAAAUUUAGACUAGGUUGGAAAAUUCCAAGUUACUACAAAAAAAUUUCUGGCCCAAAUUCUUUCUUCAUUGACUUUUUCCUAACAAAGAAAUCAGGUCGUUACAACAAGUGAAAAGAUAUUAAUCAAAUUGAACUUUAAAGUAAAUUAUAGAAGAAGAUUAUUUAUCCACCAAAAGAAAUUUUAAUAAUAACAGAGAAAAUAUAUAUGAUAACUUAUGGCUUUUUACUAAAGAUGCUGAAAUAUUUUGGGAUUUAUUACUUAAUAUGUUGGAUCUAAUUUAGUUUUAAUUGGAUUAACAUAAUAAAUUUAUCAGAGGCUGAUCAUCUUCUAGUUCUGAAAUAUUAGCCUAGGUUUUAAUAGCUAUUCCUUUUCUAGCUAUAUGCUUCUUCCUUUUACCUUUGUCUCUCGGUGGGAGUUCUUCUCCUCUCCUCUUUGAAGGAUUUGACCCCCCCUCGUUUAUAUUUAUGCCAUGUGCUUUUGUCUUGGGUGGCAUGGUUAGAUUUGUACGUACCAUAUCUCCAAAAGAUCGAGAGAAAUUAGGUGAGAAUUCAAACAUAAACACAGAAAAUCUAUUGCAGACAGGCUCGCCGAUCCAUUUGACGAGUCACCGAACCUCUUUGGCGAGCUAAAUCGGGAUCGCCGAAGGGAUUGGCUUAAAAAUUAUAGCAAGUCGGCGAUGGGAAGGCCCUUUCGGCGAAUCGCCGACUACUUUCGGCGAUCAUGGGUUUGUCCGCCGAAAGUUACAGUGCAAUAGAGGUUCAAAGGAGCAUACAAAGGACAAUCAAGAGUACUUUCGGCGAGUCGCCGAGUGCUUUCAGCGACUAAAGGCUUCUCACCUAAAGUUACAGACUCAAACAACACAUACAUCAUGAAUUUAAAAGCGAGAUAGAGUCUUUAGGCGAACCGCCGAGUAGUUCGGCGAGCUUGACCCAGCUCGCCGAACAGCUCAACGUGCCCAUUUUCAAUCCACCUUCUCGAAUUCAAUCCCGCAACCUCCGAUAUCAAAAUCAAAGCAUGGACUAAUGAAAUUCAAAUAAGACCCAUACUACCCAUCACCCCGGUAUACUCAGAUUUUUCCCAGUUUUGCCAAAAUUAGCCAUUUGACGAUAUUUGCUCUUAAGAGUGUUGUCACCCGCUCUAUCAUUGAGCACUUUUCGUCGUUUAGCACAAACAUGGGUUACUCAGACUUCACCCAAUCAAUCUAAACGACACGCAAGCACAACUCAAUGCAAAUUCAUUCAUUUAAAAGCACCAAAAUUAUGGGCAUUUGACGAUCAAAACAAUAAGGGCAAGAUUUGCAACUUGAAAUAGGCAUUUAAGAAUUCUAAUUCUAUUAGAGAGGCCCAGAACACAACAAUACGAUACAGUUAUUGCAAAUGAGUACAAAAUUUUCAAAUGUAAACUCGGGAUUCGUAAACCAAUGAAGCUUAUACAGGAGCACCAGGCUGAUUUUCUUCGCCUUAUAUCAAUGAGCAUGUUGAAGGAGGAGAAGGGCAUGUUCACUCUUCUAUAUUCAAUGAUUUUGAUACAAGGUUAUCUUGCCACCCUCUCUUUGCCCUACCGCAAACAUCAGUUCCAUUUAUGGUGUGGGUUCUGAGCUAUUCGAGUGCUGCAGAGGGGUGAACUGGAAAAACGUAACUAGUUAUCCUUUUUUUCUCUUCUCCCAGCAUCGGCUUGGACCCCAUUAGGAUUGUCUUUAUACAUAGUUUGUCAAUUCCUUCCCCCUCUACCCCCAACCCCCCA
rnacentral:lncRNA from 1 species